rnacentral:rRNA from 1 species
GACGAACGCUGGCGGCGUGCUUAACACAUGCAAGUCGAACGAUGAAGCUGGAGCUUGCUCCAGUGGAUUAGUGGCGAACGGGUGAGUAACACGUGAGCAAUCUGCCCUUGACUCUGGGAUAACUGCGGGAAACUGUAGCUAAUACCGGAUACGACACCUUGGGGCAUCCCGAGGUGUGGAAAGAAUUUCGGUCAAGGAUGAGCUCGCGGCCUAUCAGCUUGUUGGUGAGGUAAUGGCUCACCAAGGCGACGACGGGUAGCCGGCCUGAGAGGGCGACCGGCCACACUGGGACUGAGACACGGCCCAGACUCCUACGGGAGGCAGCAGUGGGGAAUUUUGGACAAUGGGCGCAAGCCUGAUCCAGCAAUGCCGCGUGCAGGAAGAAGGCCUUCGGGUUGU